CUUAAAGGAAUUGGCGGGGGAGCACUACAACGGGUGGAGCCUGCGGUUUAAUUGGAUUCAACGCCGGAAAUCCCACCGGGGGCGACAGCAUGAUGAAGGCCAGGCUGAAGACCUUGCCUGAUCCGCUGAGAGGUGGUGCAUGGCCGUCGUCAGUUCGUACUGUGAAGCAUCCUGUUAAGUCAGGCAACGAGCGAGACCCACGCCCACAGUUGCCAGCGAGCCCUUCGGGGUGGCGGGUACUCUGUGGGGACCGCCGCUGCUAAAGUGGAGGAAGGAAUGGGCAACGGUAGGUCAGUAUGCCCCGAAUCUCCCGGGCUACACGCGGGCUACAAUGGUCGGUACAAUGGGUAUCUACCCCGAGAGGGGAUGGAAAUCUCCUAAAACCGGUCGUAGUUCGGAUUGAGGGCUGCAACUCGCCCUCAUGAAGCUGGAAUCCGUAGUAAUCGCGUUUCAACAGAACGCGGUGAAUACGUCCCUGCUCCUUGCACACACCGCCCGUCAAACCACCCGAGUAGGGUCUGGAUAAGGGUGCGCCAUGUUGACGCAUUCGAAUCUGGGCUUAGCAAGGGGGGUUAAGUCGUAACAAGAUAACC
rnacentral:rRNA from 1 species